CGUUGCUAGGAUACGCCGAUGCGCCGUGCGAUCGGUCGAGGGGAGCACAACGCUGGACCACACACGCGGUACCAUUUUCCCUCGAGCAAUAACAUUACCCACACAGAGACGCGCCUCCUUACGCGACACGCACGAGGGCGCGGGGAUCGCUGCGGUCUUCUCGGUUCUCUCUCUCUCUCUCUCGCUCUCGCUCAUACCUCGUCUCUUUCCCUCUCUUUCUCAUCUUUUCCUAUUCUCCUCUCGUUCUUUCUACCCUCUCCGUCGUUCCCUUCUACCGCACCGUUCUGAAAGCUUUAUAUACGCACCGCGUCUCACGCGGCGUAUCCUAGAACGAGGAAGAUAGAGAUAGAAAGGGUUAGGAACAGGAUCCAAGAAAGAAAGAGAGAGAGAGAGAGAGAGAGAGAGAGAGAGAGAGAGAGAGAUAGUCCACUAAUUCAUCGGACCUUAACAAGAACCUGGCCGAAAUCCUUUAAUCAAGAUCGUCUACCGGAAAUGAGACAAUUCCUAAAGACGAUGCCACGACUUCAUAUGUGUCCGGUCGAGACAGCAGUCUACUCGCUAAGAUAAAAGAAUGGAAGGGGGAAAAGGACAGGAUGAUGGAAACAUUCGUUGAUACCGCGUGGUCUACCUUUGAUCCACCCCAAGACGGCUCUUCUCUUGCACCGGGCACCGGCGGAUCGCCGACGAGGCACCGUGUGGAGCGACCGUUAAUAAUUUUUACGACACUCUUAACUCGCCACCCGGUAUUAAGCGGUCCACCAGAGAAGACGGCCUUUUGAUCUUUGCCGACGCGGUAUCGACUUAAUGAGUGCGAGAGGGAGAUAGCGGGUGUUCGAGACUCGCGCUCGUUGAAGAUCGUUGAACCAAGGAGAAGGGAUGCGGGAUAGAUCGUGAUGACUACAAGGAGAAAGCGAGCGAAAGAGAGAGAGAGAGAGAGAGAGAGUGAGAGAGAGAGAGAGAGAGAGAGAGAGAGAGAGAAAGGGCGACACGACGCGUGUGGUCCAGGCCGAUGGUAGACGACGAGCAAGACGGGACCUGGACGACGACAGCAUCUUAUCCGAGAGGUACGGAUCGAUUGAUCAAUGGCGAAAUCGAUGCUUUCUUGGUUCGAGACUGAUCGAGUCCGCUCCGUGGUACGCUCGGGCGCACAAGUAUUUUUCACCCUACCGCGAAGACGAACAUGCCCAACUCAAGUGGACUCUCGAGGGAUCGGGGAAGAUCAUCGAAUUUUCGACGAACUAGAUCGAUCGAAUCGCUUGAUCCAAAAAAGGAAAAAACUUCGAAGAGGUAAGAUGUGGUUUUUCUUGUUUUUUUCUUUCUUUUUUUUUUUAAUUUAUCUCUUAUAUUUACUUUUCAUUUUUAUCAACAUUUUCUUUUUUUUCAUUUCGUUUUACUUUGCUCUCCUUCUUUUCUAUCAUCCGAGGAUUUGAUCUAUAAUGAUCGAUUUCGUACGGAUCGAUGAUCGAUGAAUAUCGAUAGAAGAAUAAGAAGGACGCGAAUCGAAUUUAUAUCUUUGAGACCUGGCGACAUCUAUCGUCGUGUUCGAAAAGCUAAUUACACUAGCGUCUAAUUGAAAAUCCUUUCGUUAUCGAUAAUCUUACGUGCGAUAUUGUAGGAUAGAAAAAUCAAAAAAAAAUAAAAAAAAGUAAAAAGAAAAUAAAAAAUAAAAAAGAAUAAAAAGGAAGAAGAAAAUAAAAAUAAAAAGGGAGGGGUGGGAGUGGGAGGAAAAAAUUAUAAUAAUAAUAAUAAUAAUAAUAAUGAAAAGGACAAAAAAGAAAAAUAAAAUAAAAUAAAAUAAAAUAUAGAAAGAGAUACUACUAUUUGGCAGGAAGUGUAGAAUACACGUGAGGAAUAAAUACGGAAGGAAAAAGAGAAAGAGAAAGAGAAAGAGAAAGAGAGGGGGUAGAGAGUGGGUCCGGCACGGUCUAAUGCUAAUGCAGCUACCAUUAGCAAGUAGUGAAUCGAAUGUAAAGUCGGACAUAAGGUGGGACCACACAGGUCGUCGAGGGAGGUUUAUACGGGGCCAGCAGAUGCAGUGCCCCAUAAACAGCGGGGCAGGACCACCCAACGUGCUUGUUCCUUCGUUUCGUUCCUUCGUCUGUUUCCUUCAUAACCACGAUAGCCUGCCCCCUUCUCUUUCCUGUAUCUGUGAAAGGGUAUAAUACGAGGAACGAGUAUGCG